rnacentral:lncRNA from 10 species
AUUCUGAGCUCUUAAGCAUGCCAGGAGCAGAUGCCUGAUUUUACUGUGUGGCACUUUGUGGCCCAGAAACUUUCCAGAUUCUGUAUUUUCCUAUCUGGUUAAAUGUAACUGUAUUUACCUGUGUUUCAAAGCCUGAAUGCUUUAUUUAUUCUCUACUUAAUUUUCUUUUCCAGUUUUUCCUAACAAGCUUCCCUAGAUUUACUUGUUCUCACUUCCUAGACGCUAUUUGUAUUCUUCCUUCUUCUCUAGUUCAUUGGAAAUUUCUGCUUCUUUGAGACUGAGGUUAUAUUCCACUUCUUCUGACUACACCACCACCAUCAAUCUCCUUCUCUGAACUCUUGGAUCAUUACUUCAACCUGAAACAACUCAUCAGGCAGAAUAGUUGCCUACUGCCCCAACCCCACCAAAUGUUCCAGCACCUCUGAUAUUACCUCACAUGGCAAGAGGGCUUUGAAGAUGUGAUUGAGUCAAGGAUCUUGAAUGGGGAGAUUAUCCUGAAUUAUUCAGCUGGACCCAGUGUAAUCACAAAGGUUUUUCAAAGAUGGAAGAGAGGCAGAAGAGCCAGAAAAGGAUAUGUGACAAUGGAGUCAGUGUCAGAGUUGGAGUGACGUGAUGUGAGAAGGAUUCAACCUGCUGUUUCUGGCUUUGAGGAUGAAAGAAGGGGCCAUGAGCCAAGCAAUACAGGUGGCUUCUUUCAAGAAGUUGGAAAAGUGGUAAUAUUUUAUGUUAUUUUGGUUUGAUUUUUGUUUGUGGCAUAUGGCUCUGCUGUCCUGUGACUCUAAGUAGAAGAGAAAAUAGUGCCAAUAAUUCUUCAUGGAGAUGCACCUCUCUCAAGUCUUGAACAAUGUUUGAGGAGGAAGUGGUUCUCAGAUAAUUGACUAAUCACUUCUUCAUGGUCGUGAACUCAAGGACUUACCUGUUAUGAGGGGAGAAGCAUAAUAAAGAUUACAUCAUGUGAACUUUUGAAAUAAAAUGCCCGAAGACAUAAGAGAGACCCUUACCACUGUCACACUCAAAAGGAAAGCUUAGUAGCUACAGAGAUUUAAAAAGCAAGCAAACAAGCAACCAAGCAAACAACAAAGACCUGAAGAAAAUUCCAGAAUAAUCCUCAACCUGUGCUUUCACAUGCUAAAUUUUCAUAAUGAGAAAGAUAAACUGUGUAUCUUGUGGUGUCAGUGGUCAGUGUGGUGAUAGUAGUUGUGGUUUGGGCUGCUUUUUUCCUUGUUUAUUUUUUCCAAAUUUUAUUUGGGAAAAUUUCUGCUGUUUCCAUUGUGAACUAAAGUUACAUAUACUGGAUGAUAUAACUUUAACUCCUAAGAGUAUGUUUGGCUAUGUUUUUGGAAUUAGGUAUUAUGCAUGCCACCUUGUGGCCAUUAUUAAGAAAACACCUAACAUGAAGACGAGAAACAGGAUCAUUAGUGAGAGCAGCUUGAGCUUGGAGCAGUACUUUCCCAAGUCUGUUUCUCCAACAGCAUCCUUAGAACCCUUAGAACCUGGAUAUCACAUUUUAGUGGGAGGAGACAGACAAUAAAUAAAACAAAGUAUAGUAAGUGCUCUGGAGAAAAGUAAUGCAAAGAAGAGGGCCAGAAAGUAUCAAAAAGUUUGAAAUUACAAAUAAGGUACUCUUGGAAGACCUCACUAAGGUCACAUUUGAGCAGAGAUCUGAACAGCAUGAGAGACAACUGGGGGUGGGGGGGGGCAGAAUAAUGUUUCAGAUAUGUACAUUGCAACUGCAAAGGCCUGAGACAGGAAUUUGCCUGGCCUGUUCCAGCUUAGCAAAGAAAGAGGCCUGUGUUAAUGAUACUCAGAGAGGAAGGAGGCAAUAGUAGAACAUGAAGCCAGAAAAGUGACCAGAUGCAGGAGUGACUAAGGCUUUGUAGACUGCUGUAUAGACUCUGAGGGAAAUGAGCAGUCAUUGAUGGGUUUUUCGCACAGAAGGAUCUUGGUGUGUUUUAAAAGGAACAUUCUGUAUUCUAUGUUGAAAACAGACUGAAAAGCACAAGAGAAAGAACAGGAAGAGCAAUUAGGAGGCUGUGGUAGAUUAUUAUUCAGCAAAUAUUCACCCUACUGUCCUCCCCAUAAGAUUUCCCCAGGCCACCAUCACUGGAUUUGGCUAUUUGACUUGCUGUAGUCAAUGGAAUGUGAGUGAAAAGUGACUCUGUACCAGUGGGGAGGCAAAGCCUUAAAAGACCCAGCAAAUUUCUUCCAGCCCUUUUGUGCUUCUGCCAAAAGAAUACUGUGAGCAAUCAGUGCCCUUAAGCCUGGGCCUCAGAACGAGAGAUAUGGAGCAAACCUGAACCUGAACAGCAGCCUACAAUCAAGCCAGGAUGACCCUGCAAAGCCCAGCCAACGAUAGCAAAGCCACAGCAGACUUGUAGACCAAUGAGCAUGAAAUAAAUUGCAUUGAAAGCUACUGAGAUUGGAGGAAUAAUUUUUAUGCAGGAUUACUGCAGUGAACCUGAUUGAUACAGGAGCUACUGCAAUAAUCCAGGGAAAGAGGGGAUGAUGAGCUGAAGUAAACUAGGAUGGUUGCGAUCGGAUUAGAGUCUGUAUAUACAUUUGAGGACAAGAUUUGAAAGAAUUUGCUGAUGGUUUAGCUAUUAAGUGUGAAAGAGAAAUUUUGAAAUUUUGGUCCAAACAAUGGGAAUGAUUGAGUUGCCAUUUACUGACACGGGGAACAUGAAAGAAGGGGCAGGUUUACUUGAUUCAGGGCAUGCAGAGGAGAGCAGAGUUAAACUUUAUAUAUGUUAAGUUUCAUAUGCGUCUUAUAUUUGGAAGUAGAGGUAUCUUCCUAUAUU